rfam:Colinus virginianus strain Texas jcf7180006227135, whole genome shotgun sequence.
UGGCAACAAUGAUGACAGGUACUGUAACUGUACGUGAUGUUUCGUUACCUCAUGGAGACACCAGUCCCUCUAAACUGACGUUGCCA